UCAGAGGUCUCAAGCGUUGUUCGGAUUCAUUGGGCGUAAAGGGUGCGUAGGUGGCGCCGUAAGUCGGGUGUGAAAUUUCGGAGCUUAACUCCGAAACUGCAUUCGAUACUGCGGUGCUUGAGGACUGGAGAGGAGACUGGGAAUUCAUGGUGUAGCAGUGAAAUGCGUAGAGAUCAUGAGGAGACCAGUGGCGAAGGCGGGUCUCUGGACAGUUCCGUGACGCUGAGGUGCGAAAGCGUGGGGAGCAACAGG
rnacentral:rRNA from 1 species